UUGUCAUUUUUAUUUGAUAAAUCCAAAAAAACAAGAGGAUAUGAAGAAGAAAAGCACAAACAAUGGGGGAGUGGGCGUAGCGUAUUGGUAAAUCGAUUGCCUUGUACGCAGCGCACCGGGGUUCGAGUCCCGACCCCGCACAUAGGGUUAGAAAUUUUUCCAAAGAGAUUUUUCUAACCCGAAGAGGCGAAUGACCUUAAGGUUAAAACCUCUAUAAUUGAAAUAAAAAAAAAAGUACAAACAAAUGACCUAGUGGGCCUUUCUGUUGCCAUACUUUUUGUUUUGGUUCGGUCAUAGUUAAUUUAAUCGUUUUUUUUCGAGGUAAUAAGCGUCUAUAAGUGUUCUAAUCGGUAGAUCUGAGGUGAAGCUCGGCCUUUUCUCAUUUUUCAUCGUGCGCCAAAGAAUCAGGAUGCUCGUUCGAAUGUUUAUGUUUACUUCAAAGGCCCCAGCUGCCAUGUCUAAGUUUGCAAGUGUAAUACUAAUACACUCAAAAGUGUCAAAUGUUCCCAUCUUUCUCUCCAUUUUGACUGAGACCGUUCACGGUCCAUCUCGCCUGUUCUCAUUAGCCGCGUCCUUAAAUCCACCAGCAACUCAUCGGUAUUUUGAUGACUUUUUGUUGCGGGAGAGUAAAGCGACGCGCUGUGACACCAGUGCGCAACAUAAACAAAAGUUGCUUAUGUUGCGCGAGAGUGAUGAGAGAGCUCAACAAUCCAUCGUACGGUGCGGGCCGAUGCUUUGCUCAACAAAUGAGUUUUUAGCGGAGGGAGAUUUUUAACACGCACACAAACAUGAAAGUUGAUUGUAUAUGUGCAAGUUGUUGGCAUGCUGAUAAAUAAAAUUUUCGCUCCCGCGUAGUAAAAUUCAACUGCGGACAAACACGUAUUAGUAAAAUUCAACUAAUCGGGUUAUCAAGUGUACUUUUUACACUGGCCAGUGCCGCUACUACCGAGUUCAAGCCUUUCACUGGGUGUGUAUGGUGUAAAGAAUCAUUCCACACUAGAACGAGGAAUAUGGAUUCAAAACGAUGAAUGACUUUUAUAAGUCCAAACGGGCAUAAUGAAUAUGUAGCGAAAUAAAAGGAUUCAUAAACAAAAUGGAAGAUUUGUACUACGACCCUUUCUAGAGCUCCACCCAAGGACUGGCAGAGUUUUACUGAAGGAUCACUCCUCGAUCACAGUUUCCAAAGUUACCGGACUGACCGCCCUCGCCAUCGACGACGGCUCCCAGUAGAAGCGUAGCGUACCAUUAAAUAAGAAAACUGCGCUGUAACAAGGAAUCGCACACAGUGGAACAGGCCUGAUGCUAGGUCCGGGCGUAUUCGACGAAGUUAGAAAUUUUCACUAAACUGAUUAAUGGUACCAAAGAAGAAUACCCAUGGUGACAGAUUUCGCGAUUAAACGAGCCAUUCAACUGUCGACUGAGGCGAUUAGGCUCAUAAUAUCUCGGAUUUUGAACAUGGAUGGGAAGAAAAAAAGGAGAUUAUAUAGAAGAUUAUUGUUAAUAAUUAAUUGUUGAAAUUUAUUCAUUGUUAAAAUCUAUUCAUAACAUUCUCCUAAAUUUAUAUUGCAAGUAUUGAUUGAAUAUGUGUCAUAAACUGAACAAAC